rnacentral:rRNA from 1 species
UGCGUAGGUGGUCUGUCAAGUCCGAUGUGAAAGCCCUGGGCUCAACCUGGGAACUGCAUUGGAAACUGGCAGUCUGGAGUGCGAUAGAGGGUAGCGGAAUUCCCGGUGUAGCAGUGAAAUGCGUAGAUAUCGGGAGGAACAUCCGUGGCGAAGGCGGCUACCUGGACCAGCACUGACACUGAGGCACGAAAGCGUGGGGAGCAAACA